rnacentral:lncRNA from 10 species
AUUUAGUGCGCCCUGGCACCAUCUUGCUUGCAUUCUGGGUAGAGUCAUGGGGUUUGGGGCGGUGUCCUCAGUGCGCAGAGCGGCUUAAAUCAGAGGCUGAGCCCGGCGCUUCCAUAUCACGCUGUACUCUAGCUAAGGACUGGGAAGCAAGUCUAUCCAAGGCUCCUUCAUGUAACCACGCGGCAGUUGGCAGGCACUAGUCCUAGACAACUGAGUUCUCCCUGAAGAAGAGUUAAAGCAAAAUAAAAACUCACAAAAAGGAAAACAACACGAAUAAAAAGAACUAGCAUGGGACCUAAAGGACGUUGCUGAACAAGGAAAAGAGCCCAUCAGCCAGAAGGUGAAAUGCUGAAUCAUAUGGCAGCUCUACUUAACUUCUUGAGGAGCUUCCAUACUGCAUUCCAUAAUGGCUGCACUAAUUUACGUAUCCAUCAACAACGCAAGAUUCUCUUUCCCCACAUCCUCCCAUAUCCUUGUUACCUCUUGCCCUUUUGAUAACAGGCAUCGUAACAACAGGGAGACAAGGAUGAAAAACUGCACAGGCAACCCUCAUGGAGGUUCAGGCCUGUAAGCAAGUCAGACAGGCAGGAUGGCUCCCCGACAGCUCACAGUCCUGCUCCAGGAUGGCUCCCCGAC